CCUCCCAAAGUACCACUGCGGAACACAAUGGCAUACUUGGAUGUGUUGUGCUCGGUUCUUUCAAGCCUGCGAUAUUUUAAACUUGAAAACUUGGACGAUGAAGACGAUCUUCAACUCCCAAAGGUCAGGGGAAAAGGUGUGCAACAGGCCAAUAAUGACAAUGUCGCAAAAUGGAAUAGAUAGGACAAGAGAAGCCACUCUUUCGCAACAGGAAUGUCGCGGCCCUUUGUUUCAGCAGCCAUUUGAUUCGGUAUCCUGUGGUAAUUUGAAGUCAAUAAUUCUAUUGAGAUUGGCCCACGUUUUGUAAGCAGUACGUUUCAGCGUCACCUUCGGAGUAUCUCGAACAGAAUAAAAAAAGUGCUUUAAUGCGCGUUCACUGAACUUGUUUUUGAACAUUGCGAUCUUUAACGUCAUCUGUCGACAUGUGUAUCAUGGCAGUAUAAUUGAACAUGGUCUCGACUGACCAGCCCAAAUAUGAUAACAUAUGAUCCUUUAUCGCUGUAAGGCAAUUGACCAGUGCAUUCCGCACCUUACUUACGCUUUCAGUUAUCAAUUCAAUAUACCGUCUGUUAUUCAUCGGAAAACUUGAACAGCCCGAAGAAAGCAAGUGAUAAAAGGAUUCGUAACAGUGGUUGUUUGCCCGAGCCGAUGUUUCGACAACUGCACUUGUCUUCUUCAAAGAUAGAACUUCUUGCUAUAGGAUUUUUCCGUCGGAACAUUGCAUCAUCAGCUUCCUGCCGUGUUCUGAAUAAAGAAAAAGGUUUUGA